GGAUGCGAUCAUACCAGCACUAAAGCACCGGAUCCCAUCAGAACUCCAAAGUUAAGUGUGCUUGGGCGAGAGUAGUACAAGGAUGGGUGACCUCCUAGGAAGUACUCGUUUUGCAUCCC
rnacentral:rRNA from 1 species